rnacentral:misc_RNA from 1 species
AAUUGCAGAAUUCAGUGAAUCAUCGAAUCUUUGAACGCACCUUGCGCCCUUUGGCUAUUCCGAAGGGCAUGCCUGUUUGAGUAUCAUGAACACCUCAACUCUUCAUGGCUUGCCAUGAUGAGCUUGGACUAUGGGGGUCUUGCUGGCCUGCGGUCAGCUCCUCUCAAACGAAUCAGCUUGCCGGUGUUUGGUGGCGUCACAGGUGUGAUAACUAUCUAUGCUUGUGGCUUUCCACCAGGUAACCUUCAGCAAUGGAGGUUCACUGGGGCUCAUAAAUGUCUCUCCUCGGUGAGGACAGCUCUUUGAAUGUUUGAUCUCAAAUCAGGUAGGACUACCCGCUGAACUUAAGCAUAUCAAUAAGCGGAGGAAAAGAAACUAACAAGGAUUCCCCUAGUAACUGCGAGUGAAGCGGGAAGAGCUCAAAUUUAAAAUCUGACGUGCCUCUGGUCGUCCGAGU